rnacentral:rRNA from 1 species
UACGUAGGGGGCUAGCGUUGUCCGGAAUCAUUGGGCGUAAAGCGCGUGUAGGCGGCCCGGUAAGUCCGCUGUGAAAGUCCAGGGCUCAACCCUGGGAUGCGGGUGGAUACUGCCGGGCUCGAGUCCGGAAGAGGCGAGUGGAAUUCCCGGUGUAGCGGUGAAAUGCGCAGAUAUCGGGAGGAACACCAAUGGCGAAGGCAGCUCGCUGGGACGUGACUGACGCUGAGACGCGAAAGCGUGGGGAGCAAACAGG